CCUACGGGGGGCAGCAGUGAGGAAUAUUGGUCAAUGGGCGUAAGCCUGAACCAGCCAAGUCGCGUGAGGGAUGAAGGUUCUAUGGAUCGUAAACCUCUUUUAUAAGGGAAUAAAGUGCGGGACGUGUCCCGUUUUGUAUGUACCUUAUGAAUAAGGAUCGGCUAACUCCGUGCCAGCAGCCGCGGUAAUACGGAGGAUCCGAGCGUUAUCCGGAUUUAUUGGGUUUAAAGGGUGCGUAGGCGGCCUUUUAAGUCAGCGGUGAAAGUCUGUGGCUGAACCAUAGAAUUGCCGUUGAAACUGGGAGGCUGGAGUAUGUGUGAGGCACGCGGAAGGCGUGGGGUAGCGGUGAAAUGCGUAGAUAUUACGCAGAACCGC
rnacentral:rRNA from 1 species